rnacentral:rRNA from 1 species
AGUGUAGGCGGGAUCGUAAGUUAGGAGUUUAAUACAUGGGCUUAACCCAUGAGCUGCUUUUAAUACUGCGGUUCUUGAGUAUGGGAGAGGGCGAUGGAAUUCCAGGUGUAGCGGUGGAAUGCGUAGAUAUCUGGAAGAACACCAGUAGCGAAGGCGGUCGCCUGGCCCAAUACUGACGCUGAUGCUCGAAAGCUAGGGGAGCAAACAGGAUUAGGAUACCCUGGUAGUCCUAGCCGUAAACGAUGGACACUAGUUGCUGGAGGAGUCAAUCCUUUCGGUGACGAAGCUAACGCAUUAAGUGUCCCGCCUGGGGAGUACGUUCGCAAGGAUGAA